GACGAACGCUGGCGGCGUGCUUAACACAUGCAAGUCGAACGGUGAAGCCCAGCUUGCUGGGUGGAUCAGUUGGCGAACGGGUGAGUAACACGUGAGUAACCUGCCUUUGACUCUGGGAUAAGCCUUGGAAACGGGGUCUAAUACUGGAUACGAGACGCUCGGGCAUCCGAAGUGUCUGGAAAGAUUUAUCGGUCAGAGAUGGACUCGCGGCCUAUCAGCUUGUUGGUGGGGUAACGGCCUACCAAGGCGACGACGGGUAGCCGGCCUGAGAGGGCGACCGGCCACACUGGGACUGAGACACGGCCCAGACUCCUACGGGAGGCAGCAGUGGGGAAUAUUGCACAAUGGGCGCAAGCCUGAUGCAGCGACGCCGCGUGAGGGAAGACGGCCUUCGGGUUGUAAACCUCUUUCAGCACGGAAGAAGCGAAAGUGACGGUACCUGCAGAAGAAGCGCCGGCUAACUACGUGCCAGCAGCCGCGGUAAUACGUAGGGCGCAAGCGUUGUCCGGAAUUAUUGGGCGUAAAGAGCUCGUAGGCGGUUUGUCGCGUCUGCUGUGAAAACUCGAGGCUCAACCUCGGGCCUGCAGUGGGUACGGGCAGACUAGAGUGCGGUAGGGGAGACUGGAAUUCCUGGUGUAGCGGUGGAAUGCGCAGAUAUCAGGAGGAACACCGAUGGCGAAGGCAGGUCUCUGGGCCGCAACUGACGCUGAGGAGCGAAAGCAUGGGGAGCGAACAGGAUUAGAUACCCUGGUAGUCCAUGCCGUAAACGUUGGGCACUAGGUGUGGGGCUCAUUCCACGAGUUCCGUGCCGCAGCAAACGCAUUAAGUGCCCCGCCUGGGGAGUACGGCCGCAAGGCUAAAACUCAAAGAAAUUGACGGGGGCCCGCACAAGCGGCGGAGCAUGCGGAUUAAUUCGAUGCAACGCGAAGAACCUUACCAAGGCUUGACAUACACCGGAAACUUCCAGAGAUGGUUGCCCC
rnacentral:rRNA from 1 species